rnacentral:rRNA from 1 species
GGCUCAGGACGAACGCUGGCGGCGUGCCUAAUACAUGCAAGUCGAACGGUCUUUCUAUGGAAGCUUGCUUCCACUGAGAAGAUAGUGGCGAACGGGUGAGUAACACGUGGGUAACCUGCCCAUAAGAGGGGGAUAACAUCCGGAAACGGGUGCUAAUACCGCAUAGUUUUCUUGAUCGCAUGAUCGGGAAAGGAAAGACGGCCUUUGUGCUGUCGCUUAUGGAUGGACCCGCGGCGUAUUAGUUAGUUGGUGAGGUAACGGCUCACCAAGACGAUGAUACGUAGCCGACCUGAGAGGGUGAUCGGCCACAUUGGGACUGAGACACGGCCCAAACUCCUACGGGAGGCAGCAGUAGGGAAUCUUCCGCAAUGGACGAAAGUCUGACGGAGCAACGCCGCGUGAGUGAAGAAAGGUUUUCGGAUCGUAAAACUCUGUUGUCAGAGAAGAACAAGUUGGAGAGUAACUGCUCCAGCCUUGACGGUAUCUGACCAGAAAGCCACGGCUAACUACGUGCCAGCCGCCGC